rnacentral:rRNA from 1 species
UGUGUAGGCGGUCCCCUAAGUUUGGUGUGAAAUCUCCCGGCUCAACCGGGAGGGUGCGCCGAAAACUGGGGGUCUAGAGUACGGGAUGGGAGAGUGGAAUUCCUGGUGUAGCGGUGAAAUGCGUAGAUAUCAGGAGGAACACCGGUGGUGUAGACGGCUCUCUGGACCGUAACUGACGCUGAGACACGAAAGCGUGGGUAGCAAACAGGAUUAGAUACCCUGGUAGUCCACGCCCUAAACGAUGCAUAUUUGGUGUAGGUCAUUCAGUUGAUCUGUGCCGGAGCUAACGCGUUAAAUAUGCCGCCUGGGGAGUACAGUCGCAAGGCUGAAA